rnacentral:tRNA from 1 species
UGGCUGAGCGAUGAAGCGUUAGGCUUCAAAACUGAGAUCCCGGGUUUGAAUCCUGG